UGCCGGAAUGAGUAGCGAGAAUUAUGUGAGAAUCAUAAUGGUCGAAAAUCUAAGGUUUCUUGAGGAAGGUUCGUCCGCUCAAGGUAAGCCGGGAGCUAAGGCGAGGCCGAGAGGCGUAGUCGAUGCACAUACGGUAAAGAUUCCGUAGCCACCGAAGUCGUUAAAUACAGGGACACAGGAACAUAGCCUAACCCCACCGUUGGUUGAGUGGGGCGUAAGGGAGCGAAAAUUAGUAGCGAAGUAGGUGAUUGUACACUGGCGAGAAAAGCUGUAUGAAUUGACAAGGUGCCCGUACCGCAAACCGACACAGGUAGAUGAGGAGAGAAUCCUAAGACCAGCGGGAGAAGUGUUGUUAAGGAACUCGGCAAAAUGACCCCGUAACUUCGGGAUAAGGGGAGCCUACGCGAGUAGGCCGCAGAGAAUAGUCUCAAGCGACUGUUUAGCAAAAACACAGGUCUAUGCUAAAUCGAAAGAUGAUGUAUAUGGGCUGACGCCUGCCCGGUGCUGGAAGGUUAAGGGGAAGUGUUAGAGCAAUCGAAGCACUGAACUUAAGCCCCAGUAAACGGCGGCCGUAACUAUAACGGUCCUAAGGUAGCGAAAUUCCUUGUCAGGUAAGUUCUGACCCGCACGAAUGGCGUAACGACUUGAGAGCUGUCUCAACAACAUACCCGGCGAAAUUGAAGUACUGGUAAAGAUGCCAGUUACCCGUGAUAAGACGGAAAGACCCCAUGGAGCUUUACUGUAACUUGAUAUUGAAUUUUUGUAUUACAUGUACAGGAUAGGUGGGAGACAGAGAACUAAUGCCGCCAGGUGUUAGGGAGUCGAUGUUGGGAUACCACUCUUGUAAUAUGAAGGUUCUAACCUGCACCCGUGAAUCCGGGUGGGGGACACUGUCAGGUGGACAGUUUGACUGGGGCGGUCGCCUCCUAAAAGGUAACGGAGGCGUUCAAAGGUUGGUUCAGCACGGACGGAAAUCGUGCAACGAGUGCAAACGCAUAAACCAGCCUAACUGCGAGACCGACAAGUCGAGCAGUAACGAAAGUUGGAGUUAGUGAUCCGGCGGUA
rnacentral:rRNA from 1 species